rfam:Phytophthora infestans T30-4 supercont1.88 genomic scaffold, whole genome shotgun sequence.
UUAGCUCAAUGGUUGAGCGUUGGCUUUGAGAGCCACAGGUCGGUGGUUCGAGCCCACCA